rnacentral:rRNA from 1 species
UACGAGAGGCCCAAACGUUAUUCGGAAUUACUGGGCUUAAAGAGUUCGUAGGCGGCGCAGAAAGUAGGGUGUGAAAGCCCUCGGCUCAACCGAGGAAUUGCGCCCUAAACUACUGUGCUUGAGGAACCUAGAGGUGAGCAGAACUGAUGGUGGAGCGGUGAAAUGCGUUGAUAUCAUCAGGAAUACCGGAGGCGAAGGCGGCUCACUGGGGGUUUUCUGACGCUGAGGAACGAAAGCCAGGGGAGCGAACGGG